UUUCUUGCAGGUGCUCAGGGAAGUAAGGAAGUUUUAUCUCUGGAAUUGUGGUUGAAAUGUGCUACAGAAAUUUCAGGGAUAAAGAAGAAAACCACUAGAGUUUCUCUGACCAUCAGCUCCCCAACGAAUGAAACCUCCAACAACAGAUCAAGUUACUCUAACUUAGUUCAACAACUGUAUAUUAAUCCCUAGAGGAUGCAGAGUCCCUGCAGCAGCCUGUCAGGAUCCACUUGUGUAGUACCCUCUGUGUUUACCAAGCAUCUUCAAGACAUCCCUACAACCAGAGGUCAGUUGGUCAUGUUUGAAUGCGGAAUCCAGGCCACAGCCACAGUUCAAGUUCACUGAGAAAUUAGGAAAAAAUGAUUCUCUUCGGUGAAAAAGGCCACCUCAGUAUUAGUGUGUUCAACAGUGGUUCAUAUUCAGAGAAGAUAUAGUCAUCUGGUCUAAUCUUCACAUUAGGGAUGAAGAAAGUCUGGAAGUUUAUCAUCCAUUCCUGGAAGUCUGCACCUUGAUUAUCACAGAAGCAUUUCCUGAAGACUCUGAGGAGUUCAAGUGUAUUGCAGAAAAUGAGGCUGGCACUGCAGCUUCUGCAACAAACUCUUAGUUUCCCCAGGUAAUAACUCUUCAAAAUCUCUUUGCUACAAUUCAGCCCUGAGCCAAAAGGAAGAGUCUUUGUUUCCAUCUGAACUCAUGAUUAAUUAUAUUUUUGAAAGAAAGUAGUAGAGAAAUCAGAGCGUCCUCCCAAGUUAUCCAUGAGCAAAUUUUCUCCAAAACUGGCCUCCUCUCUCUGGAGCACCAAAAGCUACACAAAGGACACAAAUCCAAACGAUACCCCCAUAAACUUUAUGCCAAUUACUCCUGAACCAGCCAGUCAUAAUGAACAUGAGAUCCAGUUUCCAAAGAAGGAUUUCUGUACCAUCAGUGGAAAUACUUUUGAGCUACAAGCACAAUAGUAAAGGGAGACAGACCCAACAUUCAUUCAUUCAACAAAUAUUCCUGGUUCUGUAGAUAGAUCAUGACAAAGCUCCUGUCCUCAGGGAGUUUGCAUUCUGACAUGAGUCACUUUAUGUCGGUCCUCCCUUGCUUUUCAGUAUGCAUUUCACCAUGGCUGAAAUAUUAAGCCCUGUGCUUAGAUUCACAGUUAAGGGUUUAUUACACAGAUUUAUUGAAAAAAAAAAUCAGGCCAGGCACGGUGACUCACACCUGUAAUCUUAGAACUUUG